rnacentral:lncRNA from 1 species
GCUCCGCUCGCGGCUAGUAUAGUCUUGUUCUCCUCUCUAUAGUGAACAGCUUGGUGUUCGGACGAGGAAGGAGCAGACGUUGGACGGGGGUGUGUGUCCAGCAGGGGGUUGUCAGUCUUGGGGGUCUGGCCGUGCGUCCCCCUGGGGAUCUCCCUGGACCCGCUGACCUGCCCGUAAUCCCUUCUGGAGCUGGGGAGCUGUCCUGGCUCGGCCACCUUGACCCUGCCCCUCUGCUCUGAAUUUUGUGGAGUCUCUGGGAGAAUGCUGGUAAUCCCCAGGAAGAGACAUGGAGGGUUUGGGUGAAGUUGCUUUACCCAAAUGGUGCAAAGGCUAUGGUUAUGGUGGACCAGAACCACGAACUCUGGAACAGAGUUUUUCUUUACAGCAGCCUUGUAAAAUGUGCGUGGGCUACUCUGAGCCCUUGGGCAAGUCACCAGUUUCUUCGUUUGUAACAAGUGAUUUAUGGAGAGCAUCUGGUACAUGGUGAGUGC